rnacentral:rRNA from 1 species
CUAUACAUGCAAGUCGAGCGAACAGACGAGGAGCUUGCUCCUCUGACGUUAGCGGCGGACGGGUGAGUAACACGUGGAUAACCUACCUAUAAGACUGGGAUAACUUCGGGAAACCGGAGCUAAUACCGGAUAAUAUAUUGAACCGCAUGGUUCAAUAGUGAAAGACGGUUUUGCUGUCACUUAUAGAUGGAUCCGCGCCGCAUUAGCUAGUUGGUAAGGUAACGGCUUACCAAGGCAACGAUGCGUAGCCGACCUGAGAGGGUGAUCGGCCACACUGGAACUGAGACACGGUCCAGACUCCUACGGGAGGCAGCAGUAGGGAAUCUUCCGCAAUGGGCGAAAGCCUGACGGAGCAACGCCGCGUGAGUGAUGAAGGUCUUCGGAUCGUAAAACUCUGUUAUUAGGGAAGAACAAAUGUGUAAGUAACUAUGCACGUCUUGACGGUACCUAAUCAGAAAGCCACGGCUAACUACGUGCCAGCAGCCGCGGUAAUACGUAGGUGGCAAGCGUUAUCCGGAAUUAUUGGGCGUAAAGCGCGCGUAGGCGGUUUUUUAAGUCUGAUGUGAAAGCCCACGGCUCAACCGUGGAGGGUCAUUGGAAACUGGAAAACUUGAGUGCAGAAGAGGAAAGUGGAAUUCCAUGUGUAGCGGUGAAAUGCGCAGAGAUAUGGAGGAACACCAGUGGCGAAGGCGACUUUCUGGUCUGUAACUGACGCUGAUGUGCGAAAGCGUGGGGAUCAAACAGGAUUAGAUACCCUGGUAGUCCACGCCGUAAACGAUGAGUGCUAAGUGUUAGGGGGUUUCCGCCCCUUAGUGCUGCAGCUAACGCAUUAAGCACUCCGCCUGGGGAGUACGACCGCAAGGUUGAAACUCAAGGAAUUGACGGGGACCCGCACAAGCGGUGGAGCAUGUGGUUUAAUUCGAAGCAACGCGAAGAACCUUACCAAAUCUUGACAUCCUCUGAUCCUCUAGAGAUAGAGUUUUCCCCUUCGGGGGACAGAGUGACAGGUGUGCAUGAUGUCGUCAGCUCGUGUC